rnacentral:tRNA from 1 species
GCUUCCUUAGUUAAAUGGAUAUAACGGUCCCCUCCUAAGGGACAGUUGUGGGUUCGAUUCCCGCAGGGAGUA